rnacentral:rRNA from 1 species
ACUGAGAUGGGUAGAGCGGAGGCGGGAUGAGGGAGAGGUGUAGGGUUGUUCGGAAUUAAUGGGCGUAAAGCGCGCGUAGGCGGGCCAGCAAGUGGGGGGUGAAAUCACGGGGCUCAACCCCGGAACUGCCUCCAAAACGGGCGGUCUGGAGUUCGAGAGAGGUGAGUGGAAUUCCGAGUGGAGAGGUGAAAUUCGUAGAUAUUCGGAGGAACACCAGUGGCGAAGGCGGCUCACUGGCUCGAUACUGACGCUGAGGUGCGAAAGUGUGGGGAGCAAACAGGAUUAGAUACCCCAGUAGUC